GAGAUCAACUCUCAUCAUGCAUGAGUGUUAUCGCAAAGGAUGGUACCUAUUUAUUCUGAUUGCAUCACGUUCCAUCCCUCAUGGGUGACGUCCACAUAGAACCUGGAAAAAUGAAUGGACUGUGGAUGGUACUGUUCUGUUUAUCAGUGAUAACAGUUCAUGUGAGAGGCCAACUAUCUGAAUGUGGCAGGGAAUGUCCAGAGGAGUAUAUUCCAGUAUGUGGGUCUGACAGGAGAACUUACGGUAAUGACUGUGAGCUGG